UCGGGGCGUGGCUUAGCUGGCUAGAGCGCUCGGUUCGGGACCGUGAGGUCGCUGGUUCAAAUCCAGUCGCCCCGAU
rnacentral:tRNA from 1 species